AUGCUUUUGUAGUUCUUGAGUGUGAUGAUCGGGUGCUCACAUGCAUGUGUGAGAUGUGCCACCCUCGAACCUCAUUUUGAAGUCAGCACAUUACUGUCUGACA
ensembl:snoRNA